GUCUAUGUUUAAGCGGCUUUGUUUGUAAAAAGUUCAAAGUGUUCUUAAUUUAUUGGAAAUAUGGAUUAUUGAUAGUUGAAGUUACAGCAGAGAGAGAGAGUUUGACAGUAUGCGUGUUUGAAGAAGAUAAUGCUUUUAUUGGUACAUUCAAUUCCACAAACUGAGUGUUGAUUUCCUCGAUUUCAUUGACUCGAUGAUUCAUUCUUUGAUUUCUAAUGAUCAAUCAACUUAUUGAUUUACUGAUUGAUUGGACAUGUCAUGGAGCUUAAUAUAGAUGGAGAAGUAACUUAGACGUCAUACAGUUAAAUUCAGUAUUAUCGGGGUUGUUCUAGUGCAAGUUAUCAUGUGUUUCGGGAUUUUCCAAGAUUUGAUGCAUCCUGGGUAAUAGUAGCCAAAAUACCGCCAUAUUCAAUUCCAAGAGGAACAUUGACAAAAAAAGACGAAGCAUUUUCUACUUACAUAAGAAGCAAUAGUUAUUUAUGUUAAAACGUACCAUACACACUUUUCCACACAGAUAUUUUUUUUACUUGAAAACUAUUAUUUUUUACUAUGACUUUUUUAGUUUCAAAGGCAUCUACCUCUUACUUCAAAUACAUAUUCCUUAUCAUCAAUUACAUCUUAUGUGACUAGGUUCAUAAUUUACUCUUAAAGCAAUAUUUCCAGGUUAAUAUCCCUUUGAACUAUUUUUUAAAGAAAUAUAAUAAGUAAUUUAAUUUACUUUUUAGCUCACCUGAGCAAUGCUCAGGGUGAGCUAUUGUGAUGGCCCUGUGUCCGUCGUCGUGCGUCGUCAACUUUUAACGUAAACAUCAUCUCCUCUGAAACCAAUGACUGCACAUCGACCAAACUUUACAGAAAUGAUCCUUGGGUGGGCCCCUUUCAAAGUUGUUCAAAUGGUUCCGGUCUGUUGCAUAUGUAGGUCAUAGGGCCAGAAAAGGAUUUCAAAAAACACAAAAUUAAAAAAUCUUCUUGUCUGAAAGUACAUGGGCCAGAGCUUUGAUUUUUGGUAUAUGGUAUCAUUAUGGGUCCUCUACCAAAGUUGUUCAAAUUUUGUCCCUAGUGUCAAAAUUGGCCCCAACCUAGGGGGUCAUAGGUUUUUCCUUAUAUGUAUAUAGUAAAAUCUAAAAAAAUCUUCUUCUCUAGAUGUUUAGCAUGAAACAUCUUCGAAUGGGUGUCAACCAAGAUUGUUCAAAUAAAAGCCCUGUGGUUUCAACUGGCCCCGCUCCGGGGGCCUAUAUACAGGUGAGCGACUUUGGGCCAUCAUGGCCCUCUUGUUUAUAUUUCUUAUCAUUACACAUAUGUUGUGUGACAAGCAUGACUAUUUCCAGAAUUACCCCCCCCCCACCUUGAACUUAUUCAUGGAAUUUAUGUAAACAAACGUUCUUAGUUUCAUAGUUUUGUCUUCCAUACCAACUUAUCUCAGCCUCUUGAUAUUUUGUAUACAGUAUUGACGUGGUCCCAUACCGUCGGAUUUGAUUUUAGUUCUGUCGCUCACCAAGCCCCAUUUACCGUUAAAUUUUCAAAAUUAAUGGUCAAUGGUAGGAAAUUUUUGUGACAGAUUUUUUAGCAACUACUUAUCACAGGCUCUUGAUAUUUGACAAACAGCAUUGACACAUGGUCUUAUACUGUGGGAUUCGAUUUCAAGUCUUUCAUUCAUCCACUUCCUGUUAACUGUCUUAUUUAAAUUUUCCACAUUAAUGGUCAGUGGUAAAUAUUUUUCAAAACAUUACAGCAUCAUGAUAUUUGGUAUAGAAAUGCAACCCGACCUUUUCUGUCUUUGACCCAUUUUUUUUUUUAAAUUUUGAAAACAUUCAUUUAUUAUUGUUGAAAUCUACUUAUAAUACCUUUAAAAUACCAUGUUCCCAGUACUUUUUAUAAACAUGCUUAAGUUGUUCUUAACAUACACAAAACAAACUUGUACAUUCCUUUAUUAGAAAUUGUCUUUUUUAUAUAACCAGGCACAAGUGACAAGAUAAUAUUUAUGUAUAUGCUAUUAUCAUUGUGGACACAAACUGUAAACAAAGGUAUCAUUUUUGAUUCUAGUCAAAGUAAAAACAAACAGUGAUUGCACUAGAGUUAUAUAAGAAAGUUUGUGGGAGCUUUACAUGCUCAUAACAUUUCUAUCUUUGUCAGAGAAAUAUUUGAUUUCUAAGAAAUAAACUAUUUUGACUUCAAUUUCCGAAGAAACAUGACACUACACCCCAAAUUUAAAUGCAUAAUAACUAUUACAUUUGUUUGACUUAACUGUUUCUUAUGGUCAAUAGUGUUACAUGUAUAUAAUUUUUUAUGUUCAUUUUACAUUUGCUUGUUUUUUCUAUCAUUUCAAUCCAUAAUGUCUUAAUCAUUAUAUAAUUUGAUAAUACCUUAAUUAUGUAGCAUUGUAGCAUUGUUUUAUGAUUUACAUUGUAUUUGCAAUUUUGUGAACAUUUAUCAGUAAGUAAUAUUCUUAAUAAAAGAAAUUUCACAAUUGAU